GGGUGAGUAACGCGUGGAUAACCUGCCGUAUACUGGGGGCUAACACUUAGAAAUAGGUGCUAAUACCGCAUAAGCGCACAGUCUCGCAUGAGACGGUGUGAAAAACUCCGGUGGUAUACGAUGGAUCCGCGUCUGAUUAGCUUGUUGGCGGGGUAACAGCCCACCAAGGCGACGAUCAGUAGCCGGCCUGAGAGGGUGAACGGCCACAUUGGGACUGAGACACGGCCCAAACUCCUACGGGAGGCAGCAGUGGGGAAUAUUGCACAAUGGGGGAAACCCUGAUGCAGCGACGCCGCGUGAGUGAAGAAGUGCCCCGGCACGUAAAGCUCUAUCAGCAGGGAAGAAAAAAGUCCUUCGGACUUUGGACGGUACCUGACCAAGAAGCCCCGGCUAACUACGUGCCAGCAGCCGCGGUAAUACGUAGGGGGCAAGCGUUAUCCGGAUUUACUGGGUGUAAAGGGAGCGUAGACGGCAGCGCAAGUCUGGAGUGAAAUCCCGGGGCUCAACCCCGGAACUGCUUUGGAAACUGCGCGGCUCGAGUGCAGGAGGGGCAGGCGGAAUUCCUAGUGUAGCGGUGAAAUGCGUAGAUAUUAGGAGGAACACCAGUGGCGAAGGCGGCCUGCUGGACUGUAACUGACGUUGAGGCUCGAAAGCGUGGGGAGCAAACAGGAUUAGAUACCCUGGUAGUCCACGCCGUAA
rnacentral:rRNA from 1 species